rnacentral:rRNA from 1 species
CCUACGAGUGGCAGCAGUGGGGAAUCUUGCGCCAUGGGCGAACGCCUGCCGCAGCGACGCCGCGUGAGGGCUGAAGGUCUUCGGAUCGUAAACCUCUGUCAGCAGGGAAGAACGGUCACUUUGCUAAUCAGCAGUGAAUUGACGGUACCUGCAAAGGAAGCACCGGCUAACUCCGUUCCAGCAGCCGCGGUAAUACGGAGGGUGCGAGCGUUAAUCGGAAUUACUUGGCGUAAAGCGCUCGUAGGCGGUAUGGCAAGUAAAGGGUGAAAGCCCCGCGCUCAACGUGGGCACUGACUUUGAAAAUGGCAAACUGGAGUGUGUGAGAGGAUAGUGGAAUUCCAGGUGUAGGAGUGAAAUCCGUAGAUAUCUGGAGGAACAUCAGUGGCGAAGGCGACUAUCUGGCACAUAACUGACGCUGAGGAGCGAAAGCGUGGGUAGCAAACAGGAUUAGAUACCCCAGUAGUC